rnacentral:rRNA from 1 species
AUGGCUAAGUCCCGGGCAUUGGUUGCAGCACUGUUGCUUGUCCUGGUGGUGUCCCUCGCCGCAAUAGAGGGUGUUCAUGGCAUAUGUGGCAUGUCAAAUGAUGAAUUCAAGCUUUGCCAGCCCGCAGCAGCAGUGGAAAACCCAACAAAUAGUCCGUCGGCUGAGUGUUGUGCCACGCUUGGGAAGGACAACCUGUUGUGCAUUUGUCGCUACAAAGGCAUCACCGGCAUAUGGCUGAGGAUGUACCACAUCGACGUAGACCGUGCAAUGGUGCUGCCGGCAAGUGCGGCCUCACCAUGCCCAGCAACUGCUCUUGAUGAUCGGGUGCACUAUCCAUAA